rnacentral:rRNA from 1 species
GGAAUAUUGGACAAUGGGCGAAAGCCUGAUCCAGCCAUGCCGCGUGUGUGAAGAAGGUCUUCGGAUUGUAAAGCACUUUAAGUUGGGAGGAAGGGCAAUAAGCUAAUACCUUGCUGUUUUGACGUUACCGACAGAAUAAGCACCGGCUAACUCUGUGCCAGCAGACGCGGUAAUACAGAGGGUGCAAGCGUUAAUCGGAAUUACUGGGCGUAAAGCGCGCGUAGGUGGUUUGUUAAGUUGGAUGUGAAAGCCCCGGGCUCAACCUGGGAACUGCAUCCAAAACUGGCAAGAUAGAGUACGAUAGAGGGUGGUGGAAUUUCCUGUGUAGCGGUGAAAUGCGUAGAUAUAGGAAGGAACACCAGUGGCGAAGGCGACCACCUGGCCUGAUACUGACACUGAGGUGCGAAAGCGUAGGGAGCA